rnacentral:ribozyme from 12 species
AAGAGGGAAAAGAGAGAAAGGAAAGAGAAAUUACGUAGUUUAGAGGUCUAUGUGUCUCCUCUUUGUUAAUUGAUCUAGGGAAAGUUUCUAUUGCAUAAUUUUCUUUUCUUUAAGGUCUGU